ensembl:rRNA 5S_rRNA 5S ribosomal RNA
AUCUACGGCCAUACCACCCUGAAUGUGCCCAACCUCGUCUGAUCUUGGAAGCUAAGCAGAGUCGGGCCUGGUUAGUACUUGGAUGGGAAAAAAAAUAAUUACUUAAAUAGGGAUCUAUUAGUAAAUUUGUUGGUG